GCGAUUGGCGAACGGGUGAGUAAUAUAUCGGAACGUGCCCUAGAGUGGGGAAUAACUAGUCGAAAGACUAGCUAAUACCGCAUACGAUCUACGGAUGAAAGUGGGGGAUCGCAAGACCUCAUGCUCCUGGAGCGGCCGAUAUCUGAUUAGCUAGUUGGUGGGUAAAAGCCUACCAAGGCAACGAUCAGUAGCUGGUCUGAGAGGACGACCAGCCACACUGGGACUGAGACACGG
rnacentral:rRNA from 1 species